CAGUAGCCGCGGGAAUACGAGGGGGGCAAGCGUUGUUCGGAUUUAUUGGGCGUAAAGGGUGCGUAGGCGGUUUGGCAAGUCUCGUGUGAAAUCUAUGGGCUCAACCCAUAGCCUGCACGAGAAACUACCGGGCUUGAGUAUUGGAGAGGUGAGUGGAAUUUCCGGUGUAGCGGUGAAAUGCGUAGAUAUCGGAAGGAACACCUGUGGCGAAAGCGGCUCACUGGACAAUAACUGACGCUGAUGCACGAAAGCUAGGGGAGCAAACAGGAUUAGAUACCCCCGUAGUCCCUGUCUCUUAUAC
rnacentral:rRNA from 1 species